rnacentral:rRNA from 1 species
UGGGGUGAUGGCCUACCAAGGCGACGACGGGUAGCCGGCCUGAGAGGGCGACCGGCCACACUGGGACUGAGACACGGCCCAGACUCCUACGGGAGGCAGCAGUGGGGAAUAUUGCACAAUGGGCGGAAGCCUGAUGCAGCGACGCCGCGUGAGGGAUGACGGCCUUCGGGUUGUAAACCUCUUUCAGCAGGGACGAAGCGAGAGUGACGGUACCUGCAGAAGAAGCACCGGCCAACUACGUGCCAGCAGCCGCGGUAAGACGUAGGGUGCGAGCGUUGUCCGGAUUUAUUGGGCGUAAAGAGCUCGUAGGCGGCUUGUCGCGUCGACCGUGAAAACUUGGGGCUCAACCCCAAGCCUGCGGUCGAUACGGGCAGGCUAGAGUUCGGUAGGGGAGACUGGAAUUCCUGGUGUAGCGGUGAAAUGCGCAGAUAUCAGGAGGAACACCGGUGGCGAAGGCGGGUCUCUGGGCCGAUACUGACGCUGAGGAGCGAAAGCGUGGGGAGCGAACAGGAUUAGAUACCCUGGUAGUCCACGCUGUAAACGUUGGGCGCUAGGUGUGGGGGACCUCUCCGGUUUCCUGUGCCGCAGCUAACGCAUUAAGCGCCCCGCCUGGGGAGUACGG